rnacentral:lncRNA from 1 species
GCCGAGUUGUAUUUUGCUAGAUAGGGGAAGGAGGGUUGUCUGCUGUCUGGUAGGAGGGCUUUGUCUGUGUGCGCCUUUCUCUCUCUCCCUCUCUCGCUCUCCCUGUCUCUCGCACUCUCGCUCGCUCUCGCUCGCUCUCUCUCGCUCGCUCUCCCUUUCCCGUCUCUGUGGUUUGUAAGGUAGGUUGCAGUGUGUGUAUAUACACAACAUCAAGAGCAGGAAAAUGGACUCAUUAGGGAGGCAGGCAGUCAUUACCACUCACACUGUACUUCCAGGGAGACAGCGACUAUGAGGAGACAAACUGAGGACUGGGGAACAAGCAGCAUAAGAAAGAAGUGUUGAGAGCUGCUCUUAACCCUUUUGGAGGCCAAAGUCAAAAGGGAACUAGAGGGCUUGACGCAUCCUUUACAUCCUGCAUUUACUCUGACCACAGUCCCUCCCUGUUCUCACGAGCGGAGCUCAGCCCUGCUUCCCUUCCUGUUGAUUCCCAGUCAGCUACAUGGUAAGUUUUCAUUAUCUCUAGACUUGUUGCCAUGAGGU